rnacentral:sRNA from 27 species
GAACGUUGAAAUCAAAGAGGGUUCUGGAACGCUUUCUUUGAUGGAGUUCUAGGUGGGUUCGAUAAAUAACCACAAACCAGAUAGGAUUAUCCGAAAGAAAAUUAUCUAAA